rnacentral:rRNA from 1 species
GGAUAGCCUUGCGAAAGUAAGAUUAAUACCCGGCGGUCUCGGAUGGCCGCAUGACUGUCCGAGUGAAGAUUUAUCGGUAUGAGAUGGCGAUGCGUCCCAUUAGCUUGUUGGUGAGGUAACGGCUCACCAAGGCAUCGAUGGGUAGGGGUUCUGAGAGGAAGGUCCCCCACAUUGGAACUGAGACACGGUCCAAACUCCUACGGGAGGCAGCAGUGAGGAAUAUUGGUCAAUGGACGAAAGUCUGAACCAGCCAAGUAGCGUGCAGGAUGACGGCCCUCUGGGUUGUAAACUGCUUUUAGUUGGGAAUAAAAAGAGGGACGUGUCCCUUAUUGUAUGUACCAUCAGAAAAAGGACCGGCUAAUUCCGUGCCAGCAGCCGCGGUAAUACGGAAGGUCCAGGCGUUAUCCGGAUUUAUUGGGUUUAAAGGGAGCGCAGGCGGCGGCGUAAGUCAGUUGUGAAAUCGUGCGGCUUAACCGUGCAAUUGCAGUUGAUACUGCGUCGCUUGAGUGCACACAGGGAUGUUGGAAUUCAUGGUGUAGCGGUGAAAUGCUUAGAUAUCAUGAAGAACUCCGAUCGCGAAGGCAUAUGUCCGGAGUGCAACUGACGCUGAGGCUCGAAAGUGUGGGUAUCAAACAGGAUUAGAUACCCUGGUAGUCCACACAGUAAACGAUGAAUACUCGCGGUUGGUUCGUUAAAUCAGCCGCCAAG